ACGGUAAACAACCCCAUAAUCUCCUGUAUAGUAAUAUGCUAUAUAUAUAUACAUAUAAAUAAAGCAUAUCAGGGUUAAAAAGAGGUGUUCACCAUAUGAGGGUCCGUUUGUGGAUCACGUAGACAACAUAUUAGGAGUUAUCAUGAUACUAUUAAAGGAUGUUCUAUUAAUUGCGUUUAUUAUAAGAUAUAUGUAUUAACCUACGUAUCAUUAGUAGAUAGUCUAUUGUGUGAAUGAGUAGGCGUAGGCCAAUGGUAUCUAGGCAUGCGCACUAACGGCGUGUCUAUUGGUCAGGAGGUCAUAACACUGGGGGGUAGGUGUGUCGGGUAUUCUGUGGAUCACCUAUAGGGGAUAUAUAUCGAACCAGUGCAGAAUGAAGAUACCCCUGAUCCUCCAAACACCCUGAUCCUCCAAACACCCUGAUCCUCCAAACGUCUGAGCGCUAGGCUAAGCUAGUAGACUCGUCAUAGCGGCUGCAGAAGAAAGGAGAAGAAAGAAAAACAGCUACUACAACCUGCACAACUAUGCCUACUGACUUGAUUUCUGACGUCGGCUAUGAGAGCGUGAAAAGGCAUCAGGUUCCACGCGCACGUGCUGAUAUUCGGUUGAAUAAUCAAAGAUCGAUACUCGGUGAUCGGACCAAUGUGGGGGCCAGCAGUAGUUAUGGUGAGUUAUUAGUACACACGCUAUUAUCAUACAUGUAUUACAUCUAUUUUAUUGGGCAUUUAAUAAUGAAUAAAAAAAAAAUAAAGACCAGCCAACCCUAACC
rnacentral:lncRNA from 1 species